GCCCAGACUGGCUGGGGCAACCCAGUCAGAUGAGCAGGGUAUUAUUAUUAUUCUUAACAUUAUUAUGAAUAAUAGAAUAGGACAUCCCUAUUUUCAUCAGAGAAGUGUUGUGAUCUACAGCCUAAUCUGAUAUUCUCUACGUCCCUCCCCCCACCCCCACCCCUGAGUUGUUGAUGGGCACAUUCUCUUAAUAAAUUAAUUUAUCAGGCCAAAAACUAAUCUAUGUUGAUGGUGGGCUGGACCAAUGGGCCAAAGUCCAAAGUUGGCAGGGCCACCCACUUUUGUCCCUCCUUCUACCACAUCUCUCCCUUUCUGACACUUCUCUUUUUCUUCCCACUCAGGAGGCUAUAAGAGGAGGCACAAAUCCCUUUGGCCAGAGGCCUGGCUUAUGCAGAUGGCUCUUGAAAUUAUGCCAGAGGCUACAGCAAACUAGGCCAAGUUUCUAUGCAUUCUGGGAAACGUGGAAUGACAGACCCUGAGUAAUAGCAUCUGCAAUCAAGCCAUCUACCUCUGACACCAGCCCUUUGCAGGAGUUUUGUGGAGCAAGAUUGCAGUCUUCAUUAUUAUUUAAAACCCUGAUGCCUUCAGAAGUCUAAAGAACAUGACAUGUGCACAGAUGAAUGGAAGCUGAUAUCACAGUUCAUAAGCUCAUGAUACCUUCUUACCCGUAAGAAGCAGAUUAUAUGAUUCACCAUCAAUUGUCAGCUCUUUUAACAGAAGUCCCAGGUUGUGUGCUGACAUUCAAAAUUGCAAUCUUUAUAUUUACUGAAAGAGAUGGCUGCUUUUGCUAUAACUACCAGUUAUAUUAUAAUCACGUUGUUACACAUCAUAAAGUUAUAUUUUUUAAUCUUAAAAAAAAAAAUCCUUACCUCUGUGAUACUC